rnacentral:rRNA from 1 species
AUUGCACGCUGGCGGCAGGUCUACCACAUGCAAGUCGACCGAGUGGCGGACGGGUGAGUAAUGUCUGGGAAACUGACUGUUGGCGGGGGAUCAAUACUGGAAACGGUAGAUAAUACCGCAUCCCAUCGGAUGUGCCCAGAUGGGCUGAGAUCGUAGGUGGGGUAUAGGAUCACGUAGGCGACGAUCCCUUGCUGGGCUGAGAGGAUGACCAGCCACACUGGAACUGAGACACGGUCCAGACUCAUACGUGAGUGAUCAGUGGGGAAUAUUGCACAAGUGGCGCAAGCCUGAUGCAGCCAUGGCGCGUGUAUGAAGCAGGCCUUCGGGUUGUAAAGUACUUUCGGCGGUGAGGCGUUACCCGCAGAAGAAGCACCGGCUAACACCGGGCCAGCAGCCGCGGUAAUUC